rnacentral:rRNA from 1 species
UACGUAGGGUGCAAGCGUUGUCCGGAAUUAUUGGGCGUAAAGAGCUCGUAGGCGGUCUGUCGCGUCUGCUGUGAAAAUCCAGGGCUCAACCCUGGACCUGCAGUGGGUACGGGCAGACUAGAGUGCGGUAGGGGAGAUCGGAAUUCCUGGUGUAGCGGUGAAAUGCGCAGAUAUCAGGAGGAACACCAGCGGCGAAGGCGGCGCUCUGGGCCGGUACUGACGCUGAGGAGCGAAAGCGUGGGUAGCAAACAGG